AGUGAACGCUGGCGGUAGGCCUAACACAUGCAAGUCGAACGGCAGCACAGUAAGAGCUUGCUCUUACGGGUGGCGAGUGGCGGACGGGUGAGGAAUACAUCGGAAUCUACUUUUUCGUGGGGGAUAACGUAGGGAAACUUACGCUAAUACCGCAUACGACCUACGGGUGAAAGCAGGGGAUCUUCGGACCUUGCGCGAUUGAAUGAGCCGAUGUCGGAUUAGCUAGUUGGCGGGGUAAAGGCCCACCAAGGCGACGAUCCGUAGCUGGUCUGAGAGGAUGAUCAGCCACACUGGAACUGAGACACGGUCCAGGCUCCUACGGGAGGCAGCAGCGGGGAAUAUUGGACAAUGGGCGCAAGCCUGAUCCAGCCAUACCGCGUGGGUGAAGAAGGCCUUCGGGUUGUAAAGCCCUUUUGUUGGGAAAGAAAAGCAGCAGGUUAAUACCCCGCUGUUCUGACGGUACCCAAAGAAUAAGCACCGGCUAACUUCGUG
rnacentral:rRNA from 1 species